rnacentral:rRNA from 1 species
UUCGGAUUGUAGUCUGCAACNCGACUACAUGAAGCUGGAAUCGCUAGUAAUCGCGAAUCAGAAUGUCGCGGUGAAUACGUUCCCGGGUCUUGUACACACCGCCCGUCACACCAUGGGAGUUGGGAAUGCCCGAAGCCGGUGACCUAACCGAAAGGGAGGAGCCGUCGAAGGCAGGCUUGAUAACUGGGGUGAAGUCGUAACAAGGUACC